rnacentral:rRNA from 1 species
AUUGAACGCUGGCGGCAGGCCUAACACAUGCAAGUCGAACGCGUGGCGGACGGGUGAGUAAUGUCUGGGACACUGCCCGAUGGAGGGGGAUAACUACUGGAAACGGUAUCUAAUACCGCAUACCAUCGGAUGUGCCCCUAUGGGAUUAGCUAGUAGGUGGGGUAAUGGCUCACCUAGGCGACGAUCCCUAGCUGGUCUGAGAGGAUGACCAGCCACACUGGAACUGAGACACGGUCCAGACUCCUACGGGAGGCAGCAGUGGGGAAUAUUGCACAAUGGGCGCAAGCCUGAUACAGCCAUGCCGCGUGUAUGAAGAAGGCCUUCGGGUUGUAAAGUACUUUCAGCGGGGAGGCGUUACCCGCAGAAGAAGCACCGGCUAACUCCGUGCCAGCAGCCGCGGUAAUAC